AACAAUAUGUUGUACCAUUUAUUCGCUAAUGGUUAAGUUAGAAAGGGCGCACGGUGAAUGCCUUGGCACUAGGAGCCGAUGAAGGACGGGACUAACACCGAUAUGCUUCGGGGAGCUGUAAGUGAGCUUUGAUCCGGAGAUUUCCGAAUGGGGAAACCCACUGUUCGUAAUGGAACAGUAUCUUUAUCUGAAUACAUAGGAUAUUGAAGGCAGACCCGGGGAACUGAAACAUCUAAGUACCCGGAGGAAGAGAAAGCAAAUGCGAUUUCCUGAGUAGCGGCGAGCGAAACGGAAUUAGCCCAAACCAAGAGGCUUGCCUCUUGGGGUUGUAGGACACUCUAUACGGAGUUACAAAGGAACGAAGUAAAUGAAGCGACCUGGAAAGGUCCGUCGAAGAAGGUAACAACCCUGUAGUUGAAACUUCGUUCCCUCUUGAGUGGAUCCUGAGUACGGCGGAACACGUGAAAUUCCGUCGGAAGCUGGGAGGACCAUCUCCCAAGGCUAAAUACUACCUAGUGACCGAUAGUGAACCAGUACCGUGAGGGAAAGGUGAAAAGCACCCCGGAAGGGGAGUGAAAGAGAUCCUGAAACCGUGUGCCUACAAGUAGUCAGAGCCCGUUAACGGGUGAUGGCGUGCCUUUUGUAGAAUGAACCGGCGAGUUACGAUCCCAUGCAAGGUUAAGCUGAUAAGGCGGAGCCGUAGCGAAAGCGAGUCUGAAUAGGGCGUUUAGUAUGUGGUUGUAGACCCGAAACCAGGUGAUCUACCCAUGUCCAGGGUGAAGUUCAGGUAACACUGAAUGGAGGCCCGAACCCACGCACGUUGAAAAGUGCGGGGAUGAGGUGUGGGUAGCGGAGAAAUUCCAAUCGAACCUGGAGAUAGCUGGUUCUCUCCGAAAUAGCUUUAGGGCUAGCCUCAUGUUGUGAGAGUCUUGGAGGUAGAGCACUGAUUGGACUAGGGGCCCCCAACGGGUUACCGAAUUCAGUCAAACUCCGAAUGCCAAAGACUUAUCCAUGGGAGUCAGACUGCGAGUGAUAAGAUCCGUAGUCAAAAGGGAAACAGCCCAGACCACCAGCUAAGGUCCCCAAGUAUACGUUAAGUGGAAAAGGAUGUGGAGUUGCUUAGACAACCAGGAUGUUGGCUUAGAAGCAGCCACCAUUUAAAGAGUGCGUAAUAGCUCACUGGUCGAGUGACUCUGCGCCGAAAAUGUACCGGGGCUAAACGUAUCACCGAAGCUGUGGAUUGACAUCUUUGAUGUCAGUGGUAGGAGAGCGUUCUAAGUGCUGUGAAGUCAGACCGUAAGGACUGGUGGAGCGCUUAGAAGUGAGAAUGCCGGUAUGAGUAGCGAAAGACAAGUGAGAAUCUUGUCCACCGAAUGCCUAAGGUUUCCUGAGGAAGGCUCGUCCGCUCAGGGUUAGUCGGGACCUAAGCCGAGGCUGAAAAGCGUAGGCGAUGGCCAACAGGUUGAUAUUCCUGUACCACCUCCCCGCCGUUUGAGUAAUGGGGGGACGCAGUAGGAUAGGGUAAGCGCGCUGCUGGAUAUGCGCGUUCAAGCAGUUAGGCUGAUGAGUAGGCAAAUCCGCUCAUCAUAAAGGCUGAGCUGUGAUGACGAGGGAAUUAUAGUACCGAAGUUCCUGAUUCCACACUGCCAAGAAAAGCCUCUAGCGAGGCGGGAGGUGCCCGUACCGCAAACCGACACAGGUAGGCGAGGAGAGAAUCCUAAGGUGAUCGAGAGAACUCUCGUUAAGGAACUCGGCAAAAUGACCCCGUAACUUCGGGAGAAGGGGUGCUCUGGUAGGGUGUAUAGCCCGAGAGAGCCGCAGUGAAUAGGCCCAGGCGACUGUUUAGCAAAAACACAGGUCUCUGCGAAGCCGCAAGGCGAAGUAUAGGGGCUGACGCCUGCCCGGUGCUGGAAGGUUAAGAGGAGGGGUUAUCCUUUGGGAGAAGCUCUGAAUCGAAGCCCCAGUAAACGGCGGCCGUAACUAUAACGGUCCUAAGGUAGCGAAAUUCCUUGUCGGGUAAGUUCCGACCCGCACGAAAGGCGUAACGAUCUGGGCACUGUCUCAACGAGAGACUCGGUGAAAUUAUAGUACCUGUGAAGAUGCAGGUUACCCGCGACAGGACGGAAAGACCCCGUGGAGCUUUACUGUAGCCUGAUAUUGAAUUUUGGUACAGCUUGUACAGGAUAGGUAGGAGCCUGAGAAACCGGAGCGCUAGCUUCGGUGGAGGCGUCGGUGGGAUACUACCCUGGCUGUAUUGAAAUUCUAACCCGCGGCCCUGAUCGGGCCGGGAGACAGUGUCAGGUGGGCAGUUUGACUGGGGCGGUCGCCUCCUAAAAUGUAACGGAGGCGCCCAAAGGUUCCCUCAGAAUGGUUGGAAAUCAUUCGUAGAGUGUAAAGGCACAAGGGAGCUUGACUGCGAGACCUACAAGUCGAGCAGGGACGAAAGUCGGGCUUAGUGAUCCGGUGGUUCCGCAUGGAAGGGCCAUCGCUCAACGGAUAAAAGCUACCCCGGGGAUAACAGGCUUAUCUCCCCCAAGAGUCCACAUCGACGGGGAGGUUUGGCACCUCGAUGUCGGCUCAUCGCAUCCUGGGGCUGUAGUCGGUCCCAAGGGUUGGGCUGUUCGCCCAUUAAAGCGGUACGCGAGCUGGGUUCAGAACGUCGUGAGACAGUUCGGUCCCUAUCCGUCGUGGGCGUAGGAAAUUUGAGAGGAGCUGUCCUUAGUACGAGAGGACCGGGAUGGACACACCGCUGGUGUACCAGUUGUCUUGCCAAAGGCAUCGCUGGGUAGCUAUGUGUGGACGGGAUAAGUGCUGAAAGCAUCUAAGCAUGAAGCCCCCCUCAAGAUGAGAUUUCCCAUAGCGCAAGCUAGUAAGAUCCCUGAAAGAUGAUCAGGUUGAUAGGUCAGAGGUGGAAGCGUGGCGACAUGUGUAGCUGACUGAUACUAAUCGAUCGAGGACUUAACCAA
rnacentral:rRNA from 1 species